CCGGCCUGAGAGGGCGACCGGCCACACUGGGACUGAGACACGGCCCAGACUCCUACGGGAGGCAGCAGUGGGGAAUAUUGCACAAUGGGCGCAAGCCUGAUGCAGCGACGCCGCGUGCGGGAUGACGGCCUUCGGGUUGUAAACCGCUUUCAGCAGGGAAGAAGCGCAAGUGACGGUACCUGCAGAAGAAGCGCCGGCUAACUACGUGCCAGCAGCCGCGGUAAUACGUAGGGCGCAAGCGUUGUCCGGAAUUAUUGGGCGUAAAGAGCUCGUAGGCGGUUUGUCGCGUCUGCUGUGAAAACCUCAGGCUCAACCUGGGGCUUGCAGUGGGUACGGGCAGACUAGAGUGCGGUAGGGGUGACUGGAAUUCCUGGUGUAGCGGUGGAAUGCGCAGAUAUCAGGAGGAACACCGAUGGCGAAGGCAGGUCACUGGGCCGCAACUGACGCUGAGGAGCGAAAGCAUGGGGAGCGAACAGGAUUAGAUACCCUGGUAGUCCAUGCCGUAAACGUUGGGCACUAGGUGUGGGGUCCAUUCCACGGAUUCCGUGCCGCAGCAAACGCAUUAAGUGCCCCGCCUGGGGGA
rnacentral:rRNA from 1 species